CCUACGGGGGGCUGCAGUGGGGAAUAUUGGACAAUGGGGGGAACCCUGAUCCAGCCAUGCCGCGUGUGUGAAGAAGGCCCUCGGGUUGUAAAGCACUUUCAGUGAGGAAGAACGCCUGGUGGUUAAUACCCAUCAGGAAAGACAUCACUCACAGAAGAAGCACCGGCUAACUCCGUGCCAGCAGCCGCGGUAAUACGGAGGGUGCGAGCGUUAAUCGGAAUUACUGGGCGUAAAGCGCGCGUAGGUGGCUUGAUAAGCCGGUUGUGAAAGCCCCGGGCUCAACCUGGGAACGGCAUCCGGAACUGUCAAGCUAGAGUGCAGGAGAGGAAGGUAGAAUUCCCGGUGUAGCGGUGAAAUGCGUAGAGAUCGGGAGGAAUACCAGCGGCGAAGGCGGCCUUCUGGACUGACACUGACACUGAGGUGCGAAAGCGUGGGUAGCAAACAGGAUUAGAUACCCCGGUAGUC
rnacentral:rRNA from 1 species